UAGACCAGGCUGGUCUUGAACUCACAGU
rnacentral:piRNA from 1 species